rnacentral:rRNA from 1 species
AUUGAACGCUGGCGGCAUGCCUUACACAUGCAAGUCGAACGGUAACAGGUUAAGCUGACGAGUGGCGGACGGGUGAGUAAUACAUCGGAACGUGCCCAGUAGUGGGGGAUAGCCCGGCGAAAGCCGGAUUAAUACCGCAUACGACCUACGGGUGAAAGGGGGGGAUCGCAAGACCUCUCGCUAUUGGAGCGGCCGAUGUCAGAUUAGGUAGUUGGUGGGGUAAAGGCCCACCAAGCCGACGAUCUGUAGCUGGUCUGAGAGGACGACCAGCCACACUGGGACUGAGACACGGCCCAGACUCCUACGGGAGGCAGCAGUGGGGAAUUUUGGACAAUGGGCGCAAGCCUGAUCCAGCCAUGCCGCGUGCGGGAAGAAGGCCUUCGGGUUGUAAACCGCUUUUGUCAGGGAAGAAAUCCUUUGGGCUAAUACCUCGGGGGGAUGACGGUACCUGAAGAAUAAGCACCGGCUAACUACGUGCCAGCCGCCGCGGUAAAAC